AACGCGAAGAACCUUACCAAGGUUUGACAUGCAGGGAAAAGCCGUAGAGAUACGGUGUCCGUAAGGGUCCUGCACAGGUGGUGCAUGGCUGUCGUCAGCUCGUGUCGUGAGAUGUUGGGUUAAGUCCCGCAACGAGCGCAACCCUCGUCCUAUGUUGCCAGCGGGUAAUGCCGGGGACUCAUAGGAGACUGCCGGGGUCAACUCGGAGGAAGGUGGGGAUGACGUCAAGUCAUCAUGCCCCUUAUGUCUUGGGCUGCAAACAUGCUACAAUGGCCGGUACAAAGGGUUGCGAGACCGCAAGGUGGAGCGAAUCCCAAAAAGCCGGUCUCAGUUCGGAUUGGGGUCUGCAACUCGACCCCAUGAAGUCGGAGUCGCUAGUAAUCGCAGAUCAGCAACGCUGCGGUGAAUACGUUCCCGGGCCUUGUA
rnacentral:rRNA from 1 species